rnacentral:lncRNA from 1 species
GUUCCGGCUUCUUGUUUUCCAGAUGCUAUGCGCAGACCACGCAGUGACCCAUUCGUCCUUGCGUGAAAACAGACUAAUGAAUACAGGAGGCCUCAGAGGGCAGCAACCCUGCUAGCCUUGGUCUUGAACUUCCAGCCUCCAGAACAUGAGAGAAUGAAUUUCUUGUGUGAGUCCCCAGUCUGUGGGACAUUGUUAUGGAGCCUGAGCUGAUGUGUGCGACCCCGGAAGCCCUGUCCUCACCCCGAGCAGCACGCGACAGGCUCGGGAGAUGUCCACAGUGGGCCGGCCGUCCUCACAGAGCACCGCGCCUUGGGCAUGAACACUGUGUCCCUGCUCCAUCAGGUCUGCGAGAGACACAGAGCAGCUGGGCUCAGCGUCUCCAGCCUCAUCGCUCACCACCUCUUCCAACCCCGGGCUCUGGUCAGAUUCGUCAUCGUGGCCUAGAUUCAAUCAUGUCCCCUCAGAGAAGCUGCCCCACGCACAGGGCCUCCAGAGCCAGCUGCCUGAAGGCAGGACCCUUCCCGACUGUCCUGUCCAGAGGAUCCCCCACAAAGAUGGCCCCCUGGCAGAGAUUUCCAGAUGCCUCAUACAAGUUGAUUCCGUAUAAUCGAGUCAAGAACUUCAUGACAGUGACUCAGCAUUUAAAUCUCCUGAAGGCAGAUAUGCCACCCGAAGACAGAGAGUUACCGAACUCUGAUUUUGCCAUAGUUUGCGUACAGGCGAAACAGAAAAGAAGAGGUGCGUUGGGCGGGAAAGCUUUGAAACAACCUGUCUCUUUCUUCUCCCAGUUCCCCUCUUUCCUGGAGACCUGGCUCCUCGGGAGUCUGGAGGUGCUCCCCGCUGCAUAG